rnacentral:rRNA from 1 species
CCUACGGGAGGCAGCAGUGAGGAAUAUUGCGCAAUGGGCGAAAGCCUGACGCAGCGACGCCGCGUGGGGGAUGAAGGUUCUCGGAUUGUAAACCCCUUUCAUGAGGAAAGAUAAAGUGGGUAACCACUUAGACGGUACCUCAAGAAGAAGCCACGGCUAACUUCGUGCCAGCAGCCGCGGU